UCGGCAUCUGGCAUUCCCCUAGGCGUCGCCGCCGCCACCGCCAUCCCUCCGACGAGCUGCUCCUUCCGCGUCAAAGCUACCACGACCACCCCUCUCCCCAUCUGCUCUCGAUUCUUGGGUGCAUCAUGUAUGGUGUGGCAGCAGCACGAGAUCACUAGAGGAGAGUGUGGUGGCGGCAUACGAGCGCAAGAGAAGAAACAGGUGUCCCUCUGCAUCCAUGGAAGACGGUGCUUCCAUCUUCACCCAGCCCCCGUCACGACCCAUUUUAUCUUACCUUUCUGCGGGCUAUGUAGCAGGAUCCAGAUCAGCAGAUGGCCCUUCAUGGAGCUGGCCUCAAUACCAUGUAGUAAAAUCCAGUAGACAGUGCAGUCAAGAAAGAAGCUGAGGAUCGAGAACUAGGCACGAUCAUCAAGAAGCAAUAUGAUGCCUCCGCCUCAUGCGGCACUGUCGUGAUCCAUAUCCGGCUCGCCAAGUCCAAAGGCAAUUUCCCCUUUACUCCUUGCCCAUCCCUCCUUCCACUCCCACUCUGUGCUGAUUUGGCCAUGAUUGAUAUUAUUGAUGAAUUAGGAAAAUGUUAAUUAUGUAAGCAGAUUAUCUUAUUACACGGAUGUGCUACUUCUGUAACAAAUGUGCAUUGCAUGUUGUCCAAUUGACAAAAAUUUCCGAGUGCGUAUACUCUGUGUGUGUUGCCCUCUUAAGCUAAUAAUUAUUCUGCCAUUUUUAAUCAAUGUUUUAAAUAGCCGGCUAUAGCUCCGAUAUAGCUCCGUUAUAGCCUUUGAAAGCACUCCCGCUAAAGCUAUGCACUUUUAGUGCAAAAUUGAAAAAGAAGCUAAUAGCCCGCUAUUUCCCGCUAUAGCGUUAAAUUUGGAGUCAUUUAACUCGCUAAGCCGCUAUACAAAAUCAUACUUCUUCAUUAUCUUUUGUUCCUUUUUAUGAUAUAUAUGAUGCAUUGAUGUGAAGCUUGAUUAUUGAAUUAGGAUGCCUCUUGAUACUUGUGUUUUGAUGUGCGAACUUGUGUAUAUGUAAAGUAUAUGCAAUAUAUUAUAUAUUAUAUAUGAUGCUUGAUUAUAUAUACUUAGUUUCAAUUUAAGAGAAAUGCUUAAGGCUUAGCUACGCUAUAACCUUUCAUAGCUUCUGGUGGAGGCGUCGCUAAAUGACAUAGCCUGCUAUUUAAAACAUUGUUUUUAAUACAGGUGCUGCUACCAGUGUGUAUUGACAACUUGGUUCUUUAUAAUCCGAUCAUAACUUGUGAUUGUGGAAUGUCAGAUCUUCUUUUUACUCAACAAACAUUCUGUAAGGUAGGAAGUUGCACUAGCUAGAUUGGCCCUUUGUCCAGUUUAGAUAUUGGAGCACAUAAGGUCAUUUGAGGUUUGUAUUUUGCAUGCUUUGUUUCAGUGAACUUCACUUCUAUCUUGGCUCAUCAUUAAUCUUUGAUUUGUUUAUCUGUGCAGAGGAUUUGAUAUGACUAGCAAAUUGAAGUUUCCUUUUUUACCUGCAAACAUCUAUGUUGCUCAAAUGGUAUUUGGUCGCUUCCUCAAUGUUGGACAGCAAAAAUCCUUUUUUGUUGAUUAUUCUGCUGGGGAAAAUGAACUAAAUAUUCUCUGUAAAUUAGGGGAUUUAGUUCUGUCUGCGAUUUCAAACAAAUUUUGUUUAAUUUGAGUGGGCAAAGUGCAGAUGAUGUUUUUUGCAAGGGAGGGUGCUGGAUUCCCUAGAAUUAAACACAGAUUAUUCUGCUGGGAAAAUGUACUAAAUAUUCUUUGUAAAUCAAAGGAUUCAUUUCUGUCUGGGAUUUCUUAAGUGGGCUAAGUGCACAUGAUUUCUAUUUUUUUUGCAAGGGAGAAUGUUCGUUUCCCUAGAAUUAAACAUACAUGUUACUGUUCAUGGAUGGAGCAGGUCUUCCAUUUCAUCAAGUGUAUCUUCGAGCUUAUAGGACUAUUGAAUUAUGUGAAACUGUAAUUGCUCGUACCCAGUUGUAAAUUUGUUUUGGUUUUGCUGAAACUGAAUUAUGAGGGACUAUUUCGUAAACAACUGAAAAAUGAAGUUAUGUUCAUCGUUUCUGAAUUUAUAUGUAAAUUCUGUUUAUUAGACUUUGCAAAUGUCUGUUACCCUACCGUCCAUAGCUGAUUUUUUCCUUUUGAGAAAGUUGAUAGAUGAAACUUAAUCUUGUUUGGGCGUGCCAAACCAAGUUGAAGGCUAGAUAAAGUGUGCUACAUGAGCUGGUUUUUUUUUCCGUGAGGUGUUGCAUCAGCUGUUAUUGCCGAGCAAGAUUAUUCCAUUAAACAAAAUAACGUGUGACUCAUGGGGCGUGAAAAGUAUAUCACACUACCUGAUAGGGACAAUAAGGUAUGUGACGACACUGAAGAGAACCACCAUUGUUCUGCAUCUUCACUGGUAAUUACGCCAGACAUGUCGAGCUCGAAGCACUGCCCCUAAAAGCAUUGAUCGGUGCUACCAUAAUUAUUGGUAUGAGUUCAUAAGGCAUCUUAAUAUUAUGCUUAUUGCCACUUUUAAUCUUGAGAAUAGAGCUACGUAUUGCAUAGAACAAAUCGUCUGGAGUAUUUGUCUUCUUUAAAAAGAUAGUCCAAUUGAUGUUAUUUAUGCUACAAUCAUUGUUAAGGCUUGGAUAAUGGAGAUGGUGUGCCGAUAUAGCCAUGUACAUUGUGCAAUGAUGGGGCGAUUGAGAGGAGCGGUCAUUACAUGUUUACGAAUUGCUAGGUAAUUUGAUUUGUUAGCCUUUUGCCCUGUUCAACAUUUUCCUUGUGCCUACCAUCCUAUAUAUUGAGUUUGUUUCCAUCAUUGUGACUCCAUGUAAAUGGAAGUACUUUGUCAUGGAUCAAUUUAAUAGAAAUAAAUUCAUAAUAAUGUGUUCACAUAUUUAAGAAAAUUCAUAUCAUUCUGUUCACCAAUGGAUGAGCGCGACAACGCGCGUCGUCAAUGAUGUAGUCUUUCAUUGCAAUGAUGCAUUGGAGGCAGAGAUACAUGCACUUAUGCAAGGUAUGGCUUUGGCUAUCCAACACUCUGGGCUUCCCAUCACCAGCCAGUCGGAUUCUUCUAUGGCACUUUCCGCCAUGUCUGGUGACAGUUUAAUCAGAUCUGCCUAUGAACAUCUAGUAGCUGAGAAUCGGCAUCUUAUGGUAGAUAGAGUUUUUAUUCCCUUUAAAAUUAGUCGUGUGCAGAAUAGGGUAGCAGAUCAAUUGGUCCUUUAUAGUCGUACUGAGAGUACUACUGCUGUAUGGCUUGGUCAAGGUCCACCAUGUGUCGAGGAACUCUUGCCUCUUGAUGUAACCCUAUGCAUUUGGAAUAGAACUCUUUUACCAGCGCAAAAAAAAUAAUAGUCAGGGGUGAAUGAAACCAUGUAAUGAGGUACUGCAUAUUGGAAACAGAGAACAUAGAGUAUU